rnacentral:lncRNA from 1 species
CCUCAGCCUCCCAAGGAGCUGGGAUUAUAGGCAUGCACCGCCACGUCAGGCUAACUUCAUAUUUUUAGUAGAGACGGGGUUGCUCCAUGUUGGUUGGGCUGGUCUCGAACUCCCGACCUCAGGUGAUCCACCCGCCUCGGCCUCCUAAAAUGCUGGGAUUAUAGGCAUGAGCCACCGCGCCCAGCCACUGAAGGGUUUUGUAAGCAUUUAUUGACAGACUGGUGACCGUAGCCAGAUAAGCUCCCCAAGGGGAUAAGAGUAUUCUUGAGACACAGGGGGAAGAAGAAACUGAAGGGGAGGGAGUGGACCAGGCACGAACUGGAGCAUCAAGCUUGUAUAUCAAUAUCAAAGGGAAAGUGGGGCCUGGUCCACGGAGGUCCCUCCGGAGCAGCUGAAGAUUUCAAAACAAGAUAAUGGUGAUGGGGGUGGGAUGGCCUGGGGGCACAAAAGGAAUAGGUGAAACUGGAUGUAAAGUGUGCGAGUCUGUAUUUUUAACAAGCACCCAGGUGAUUUGGGGAUAAAGCCUAAGUAGAAGAUCUUGCUUAUAUGAGAAUAUUGGGCUAGAAGAAAACGCUGUAGUUUUCCAGUGAAAACCUCAGCUGCCCUUGACAUGCUAAUUUGUAUCUGAAUUUCCAAGAAAUGAUUAUUGCAACCCCUGUGGGGUUAUAAUCCAGUCCCCUACCGCGGCAGGUGGACCUUCCACCUCCAGGAAUUUUAAUUCCUGUGUCAUUCAUGAAUGUAUGCUGCCAUAUUUUUCAAAGCCCUAGGAUGGGGCUCUCCUUGGACUAGAUGAAUCUUUUAAAAUAGGUCUGAGCUCUUACUACACUUCCCAUCCCUGUUUUAUAAAAGUAAGGUAUUUACUUAUUAAUUAAUACUUAUGUAAAUCACAACAUUCUAACAUUAGUUUAACUGAAUACAGUUUUUUCUUUUUUUUUAUUUUUUAGAAGCUCUGAGGAGUGAAUCCACAAUACAGUUCAAAGAGAGAUUUAAAUUGCUAAUUUCCCGGCACUGGAAUGUGGGGAAAGAUUGUCACAGAUUUAGCAUGAAAGCCAUGUAUUUAACAUUCCUAUGUAAUAACCCUCUCUUAAAUUGCAUUUUGGUUUGAGAAACAGCAAGAACAAAUUCAGCAUUAGGGGGAAACUUUGCUGUUGAUCUCAAAGGGAAUGAGAAUUUAGGGAGCACCUCUGCCCACCAGGAAGGAGCUUUCUCUUGAGUCUCCCACAUGACUGUGUACUAUGGAUCACAUUGGAAGAACUUCUCUUUUUCCUAAUGCUGUCUGAGUUUUGCAUUUUGGUGCCAGAACAGGGAAGUGAAGGGAUACAUAAGAGACACACAUAAUAGAAAUGUAAAAGACAAGCAAUACCACCAGACGAUAGAUGUAAUUUGGAACAAAGAUAUUUUUAUUUGCCUAAGGCUCAGAAAGUCGUGCCAGGCAAUGCUGGAAGGAAUUGGUUGGCUUCCUCUCCCAAACCACUUCCUCAGUGCUCAUCCUCUUUCAGGUGGACAAGAUAUGGCAUUUUGACUGCUAGCAAAUGUCACUGUGACAUUUCAAUGGCACAAUUGGUGACAAUUCAGCCAAUUUUUGUUGGGCACCCUCCACAUGCCCCAGGGUCUGGGCUCAGCCCUUUACGUACGUGGGCUCAUUGAUUCUUCCAUGUUUUCUAGAAUGUGAUUUUACCCUGGCUGGCACAGAGUAAAUGCCCAAAGAAUGGUAGCUAUUGUUUUUAAUCAUCAUUAUUAAUUUUAUAAAUAACUUCCAUAUCAGGUGAUGGGAAAAUUUCAGACUUUGAUUUGGGCCUUGGAAAACAGGUUCAGUUUCAGUAGAUGGAGGUAAAAGGAGGCAAAGAGCGACCUUACGUAAAUCCAAGGCUGAAGGAAGGAGGCUCUAAGGGGUGUGUGGGUGAUUAGGAGUAAAGUAUCUUGUCUGAAAUGAAGAGUUUCUAUACAGCAUGCUUAUUUGGAGUCAUGCCUAACAAGAUUACUUUGGGUCUAAUUUUGGAAGCUUGGUACUCCAGGGAGCUUGGACAUGAAUUUAAAGACAAUGGGAACUCACAUUUAAGUUUCUGAAACAGCCAGGCGUGGUGGCUCAUGCCUGUAAUCCCAGCACUUCGGGAGGCUGAGGCAGGUGGAUCACCUGAGAUCAGGAGUUUGAGACCAGUCUAACCAACAUGGAGAAACCCCAUCUCUACUUAAAAGAAAAAAAAAAUACAAAAUUAGCCGGGUAUGGUGGUGCAUGCCUGCAAGGGAGGAGACCACCCCUUAUAUUGUCUUAUGCCCAAUUUCUGCCUCCAAAGAAAGAAGAAGUAAAAACUAAAAGUCAGAAAUGGAAUUCACAAGCAGACAGCCUGGCGCCACACUCUGGGUCUGGUAGUUAAAGAUCAACCCCUGACCUAAUUGGUUAUUUGCAUAAGAAAAAGCACUGUGAAGAUCCCUGUCCUGUUCUGUUCCAUUCUAAUUACCGGUACAUGCAGCCCCCAGUCAUGUACCCCCUGCUUGCUCAAUCGAUCACGACCCUCUCACGUGGACCCCGUUAGAGUUGUGAGCCCUUAAAAGGGACAGGAAUUGCUUAUUCAGGGAGCUCGGUUGUUGGAGACAUGAGUCUUGCCGAAGCUCCUGGCCAAAUAAAGCCCUUCCUUCUUUAACUCGGUGUCUGAGGGGUUUUGUCAGUAGCUUGUCCUGCUACACCUGUAAUCCCAGCUACUCGGGAGGCUGAGGUGGGAGAAUUGCUUGAACCCAGGAGGCAGAGGUUACAGUGAGCCGAGAUUAUGCCAUUGCACUCCAGUCUGGGUAACAAGAGCAAAACUCCAUCUCGAAGAAAAAAAAGUUUCUGAAUGGGGAGCUGUUCUGGAGUAUGCAGGAAGGAUUGGGGUGGGAGGAGAACAAGAAGAGGAAUACGUUUUAGCGAUAUUGCAGUUAUUUCAGGUUAAAAGUGAUAGAGUCAGGGGCUGAACCAGGAUAUCGGCCAUAGAAGCAGAAAGGAAGGGGUAUGUGUGAAAGAAAUUAAGAAAGAAGAUGUCAGGCCUCUGAGCCCAAGCUAAGCCAUCAUAUCCCCUGUGACCUGCACGUAUACAUCCAGAUGGCCUGAAGCAACUGAAGAAUCACAAAAGAAGUGAAAAUGGCUGAUUCCUGCCUUAACUGAUGACAUUACCUUGUGAAAUUCCUUCUCCUGGCUCAGAAGCUCCCCUACUGAGCACCUUGUGACACCCCACCCCUGCCUGCCAGAGAACAACCCCCUUUGACUGUAAUUUUCCACUACCUACCCAAAUCCUAUAAAAUGGCCUUAUCCCUAUUUCCCUUUGCUGACUCUCUUUUCAGACUCAGCCCACCUGCACCCAGAUGAUUAAAAAUUUUUAUUGCUCAC